GCAGUGGGGGUUCAGUGGUAGAAUUCUCACCUUCCAUGCGGGAGAGCCGGGUUCAAUUCCCAGUCAGUGCA
rnacentral:tRNA from 1 species